GGCUGAGGUUUAGGCAAUAGAUUGUAAAUCUAUUUAGGAGGGGGACCCCUCUUCUACCA
rnacentral:tRNA from 1 species